UAGAGAUAAUAGUGAAGGCAGAGCGUUUCUCUGUUGCUAGUUAGUUCAAACUUUCACUUUAUGCUGAGCCAUAGAAGAAUUUGAACAUAAUAUUAUUUGACUUUGGAUCAGGACAGUGUGACUCUACACAUGUCUGUUAUAAUGAGGUGACUGCGUGUUUGAAUUAAAAUGUCCACACACUUCGGAAGCUUGGAGAAACGAAGGGAGCAUUAAAACUUACAAAAUAUCCAAUCAAAUGUUAAGUAGUAGAUUUAGUCAAGGCUCUUUUUUGGUUGACCUUCUUUAAACGACUAAAAUUUCAGCCAUAAAAGAAAAAAAAUGGACAUUUUUAAAGCUAAAACUUAUUGUUGCGCACAGAUUGAGGUUGUGACAAGUCAAAAACUCGCUGUCAGAGUCACUCAAAUUUAUCACAGCAUUAAUUAUUAUUAUUUAUUAUUUAUUUAGUUUAUUUCAAUUAUUUCCCCGUCCUAACCCCAAUUUCUUCACCCGCACCACCCUUUCCUCUCCAGGCUAGACUUAGUUGACCACAUUGGAGAUAGCUAAAGCGCGUCCUUUCAUUUAUCUGCCCUUGAUCGGGGAAAGGUAAACACACAAUCUCUUUUGUCUUGCCCGCCGGAUGUCUGAAGGACGGUCGCGGUUGACACCACCUUGGUUUGAAUGCAAGCUAAUCCUUCUCCCCCCCCCCCUUCUCUCACGUCUCUCUUUGAUCUAAGAGAUUACCCUGGUCAACACACCGCGUGAUAUUCCAAGGUGCGGCUCCCACCUCGAGUCCAAUCCACCCACGUGUAAGAUAAAUCUUAGCCUAGGGCAUUUCCUGUGUCCGCCCGCACUUUCCAGGCUUAUAUAAAGUAAACCAACUCAAAUCAGACUCUCUUUCAUUCUCAUUCGAGCUGAGCUAUCGAGUCUGGACUGCUUCAUUUUUUCUCACUCCUAGAGGAAUACCUGGUGCCUCCCUCAGGUGUCUGCCUAUUUACCUGCCUAUUUAGUUGAUAUCAAGAAUCACCUACUAUCUUUGUGCUUAGUGCUAUUCAGCACUGCACUAGCUCACUGACCUGCCUAUUUAUUCAUUGGAUCAACGAUCUAUUUACCUGCAUUUGUGCUUAGUGCUAUUCAGCACUGCACUUGCCUACUGAGAUCUACUCAACUCUACCACUUGGCGCUAUCGGCAUUGCCCGCCUAUUCGACAGCCCACCUGUCAAGCUAUUAGGUGCGACGUCCCUAUAGACUCGGAUCUGUGUGAGACGUCAUAGCUACGCCAACCCUCUGCAACUCACUGGACAUAUCCUGUCAACUACGCUGCCCACGGCAGAUCAGCUCUGCCCGCAGUAACCUUGUGCCCACGGUAGCCGGCCACCCGCCCUAUUGUGCCCACUACAGAUAUUAGAUUUUAGGGAUUGAGACUCCACAAGAACUAUAUCACCGGCGUCCCUCUAUCCGCUAGAGCGCCACCUCCAGCUGCAGAACCUCAAGCCAGGACACAGCCAGCUGCGACAUCAACAGGACAACCAGCUAAGUCAGAGGACAAAGUGACAUGCUCUCUUAUUAAGUGCUAGAGUGAUGAUCAAAAUACCUUACUAAUUAGAGAUAGAUGCAAACCCUCCCCCUUUUUAUUCUUAUAUGUAUAUUUAUGUAAAUAAAUAUGCUUCAUUUUUAA